AAUUUGUACAAAUCUGAUAUAAAUACGUCAAACAUUACAUCUGACGUGAUGUGUGAUGUGAGAUGUGUCAAACUACCGCAAGAUUGCGGUUUGCUCCCCAGGGGCGGUGGGAAAUUUUGACGUACGCACGGAGAUGGCGUUGAUGAUGCAACAAAUGGCGCGUCCAUUCCCACGUCGCAACAAAUCGAUCGUAUGACUUCCGGCAAAAACGGAAAUAGUGCACGAGUACAUUACAUCCACCUGCUACAGCAAAGUAUUGACAGAAUUCACAAUCUAAUAACAAAAUUAAAAUAAAUAAUAGUUGCAUGUUAAUGAUAGAAAAAAUAAAUGUCGGUCGUGAAUGUAAAUGUAAAUGUAAACGUGUAAACGACACAAACUAUGUGCGAUGUAGCACGGACAUGAAAACGUUGUGGAAAAUUGUUUAGCCACGGCAAUAAUGAUCGCCAUUUAUAGAAUUUACGCCGUCGUCGAUGGCGGCGCGCGGCGAAUGGGCGCAGUGCGCGCACGCCUGAAUGGCGAAUGAAGUAAUACAGGAGUUUUACGAGCGCAAUUAACAUUUAUUAUAUAGAAUUAUCAUUAUUGGUGUUUGCCGUGCAAUAGGUAGUCAAGACUCAGUAGGAGGGCUCCAGACACGUUUGAAUGUUGUUAAUUAUUGUGUAAAUACUUUGUUUAUCAAUAAAAUGCGAUAAAAUAUUA